rnacentral:lncRNA from 1 species
ACUGUCCUGCACCCCUGAAAUCUUUGAGAUUGUCAUGGAGGGUAAAGACAGAGCACCGAACAUGAUGCAAAGGGAUCUAUGGAAAAAGAGAACCUUCCCUGCGUGCAACACAACAACUACAUCAAAGUCUUAUAUUGCUAAACCCCCUCGCCUGGCGGGAGCUUGGGUUUUCUUUUGGCAAGUUGAUCCACCCAAAUGGCCAAAACUCUUUGCCGGGUCAAUCUGGAGUCGGGUCCGAGAACCCGAGAAACACGAAUUCCAAGCUCAUAGACUAGUGCCACUGUUAAUGAAUAAAUUCACUGGCCAGUAUAAAAAUACUCAAAGGGAGUCUGUCUACUAGCUUGCUCGUGAAACCUUCAUUAAAUGGUUUCGUACUGAGGGUGAUGUAUGAUUUGUUUUCAGGUAUUAUCUUUGCUGUAUUAACUUAAUUUCCAGGCCUCUUAAAUGGUGUUGUAUUUAUCGCUGCAGCUGCAUGUCGAUUUUCUGACCAGUACAGUAAAGGCAUGCGUUUCGUCAACAAUCUUGACCUCAAAAGCUUCACCAUGUACUCGAGCUAGAGAGGAAUAUGAUACCCAUCAUAAUUGUAUUGAAA